GACGAACGCUGGCGGCGUGCUUAACACAUGCAAGUCGAACGGUGAAGCUCCAGCUUGCUGGCGUGGAUCAGUGGCGAACGGGUGAGUAACACGUGAGCAACCUGCCCCAGACUCUGGAAUAAGCGCUGGAAACGGCGUCUAAUACUGGAUACGAGAUCAAGCCGCAUGGUUAUGGUCUGGAAAGUUUUUCGGUUUGGGAUGGGCUCGCGGCCUAUCAGCUUGUUGGUGAGGUAAUGGCUCACCAAGGCGACGACGGGUAGCCGGCCUGAGAGGGCGACCGGCCACACUGGGACUGAGACACGGCCCAGACUCCUACGGGAGGCAGCAGUGGGGAAUAUUGCACAAUGGGCGGAAGCCUGAUGCAGCGACGCCGCGUGAGGGAUGACGGCCUUCGGGUUGUAAACCUCUUUCAGCAGGGAAGAAGCGAGAGUGGCGGUACCUGCAGAAGAAGCACCGGCUAACUACGUG
rnacentral:rRNA from 1 species